rnacentral:rRNA from 1 species
CACGUAGGGGGCAAGCGUUGUCCGGAUUUAUUGGGCGUAAAGAGCGUGUAGGCGGUUAGGUAGGUCCGUUGUGAAAACUCGAGGCUCAACCUCGAGACGCCGAUGGAAACCAUCUGACUAGAGUCCGGAAGAGGAGAGUGGAAUUCCUGGUGUAGCGGUGAAAUGCGCAGAUAUCAGGAAGAACACCCGUGGCUAAGGCGGCUCUCUAGUACGUGACUGACGCUGAGACGCGAAAGCGUGGGGAGCGAACAGG